rnacentral:rRNA from 1 species
CUAUACAUGCAGUCGAGCGGACCGACGGGAGCUUGCUCCCUUAGGUCAGCGGCGGACGGGUGAGUAACACGUGGGUAACCUGCCUGUAAGACUGGGAUAACUCCGGGAAACCGGGGCUAAUACCGGAUGCUUGAUUGAACCGCAUGGUUCAAUCAUAAAAGGUGGCUUUUAGCUACCACUUACAGAUGGACCCGCGGCGCAUUAGCUAGUUGGUGAGGUAACGGCUCACCAAGGCGACGAUGCGUAGCCGACCUGAGAGGGUGAUCGGCCACACUGGGACUGAGACACGGCCCAGACUCCUACGGGAGGCAGCAGUAGGGAAUCUUCCGCAAUGGACGAAAGUCUGACGGAGCAACGCCGCGUGAGUGAUGAAGGUUUUCGGAUCGUAAAACUCUGUUGUUAGGGAAGAACAAGUACCGUUCGAAUAGGGCGGUACCUUGACGGUACCUAACCAGAAAGCCACGGCUAACUACGUGCCAGCAGCCGCGGUAAUACGUAGGUGGCAAGCGUUGUCCGGAAUUAUUGGGCGUAAAGCGCGCGCAGGCGGUUUCUUAAGUCUGAUGUGAAAGCCCCCGGCUCAACCGGGGAGGGUCAUUGGAAACUGGGGAACUUGAGUGCAGAAGAGGAGAGUGGAAUUCCACGUGUAGCGGUGAAAUGCGUAGAGAUGUGGAGGAACACCAGUGGCGAAGGCGACUCUCUGGUCUGUAACUGACGCUGAGGCGCGAAAGCGUGGGGAGCGAACAGGAUUAGAUACCCUGGUAGUCCACGCCGUAAACGAUGAGUGCUAAGUGUUAGAGGGUUUCCGCCCUUUAGUGCUGCAGCAAACGCAUUAAGCACUCCGCCUGGGGAGUACGGUCGCAAGACUGAAACUCAAAGGAAUUGACGGGGGCCCGCACAAGCGGUGGGAGCAUGUGGGUUUAAUUCGAAG